GGAAACCGGAGCUAAUACCGGAUAAUAUAUUGAACCGCUAGGUUCAAUAGUGAAAGACGGUUUUGCUGUCACUUAUAGAUGGAUCCGCGCCGCAUUAGCUAGUUGGUAAGGUAACGGCUUACCAAGGCAACGAUGCGUAGCCGACCUGAGAGGGUGAUCGGCCACACUGGAACUGAGACACGGUCCAGACUCCUACGGGAGGCAGCAGUAGGGAAUCUUCCGCAAUGGGCGAAAGCCUGACGGAGCAACGCCGCGUGAGUGAUGAAGGUCUUCGGAUCGUAAAACUCUGUUAUUAGGGAAGAACAAAUGUGUAAGUAACUAUGCACGUCUUGACGGUACCUAAUCAGAAAGCCACGGCUAACUACGUGCCAGCAGCCGCGGUAAUACGUAGGUGGCAAGCGUUAUCCGGAAUUAUUGGGCGUAAAGCGCGCGUAGGCGGUUUUUUAAGUCUGAUGUGAAAGCCCACGGCUCAACCGUGGAGGGUCAUUGGAAACUGGAAAACUUGAGUGCAGAAGAGGAAAGUGGAAUUCCAUGUGUAGCGGUGAAAUGCGCAGAGAUAUGGAGGAACACCAGUGGCGAAGGCGACUUUCUGGUCUGUAACUGACGCUGAUGUGCGAAAGCGUGGGGAUCAAACAGGAUUAGAUACCCUGGUAGUCCACGCCGUAAACGAUGAGUGCUAAGUGUUAGGGGGUUUCCGCCCCUUAGUGCUGCAGCUAACGCAUUAAGCACUCCGCCUGGGGAGUACGACCGCAAGGUUGAAACUCAAAGGAAUUGACGGGGACCCGCACAAGCGGUGGAGCAUGUG
rnacentral:rRNA from 1 species